rnacentral:rRNA from 1 species
UACGUAGGGGCAAGCGUUGUCCGGAAUCAUUGGGCGUAAAGAGCGUGUAGGCGGCUCGGUAAGUCCGCUGUGAAAGUCCAGGGCUCAACCCUGGAAUGCCGGUGGAACUGUCGAGCUAGAGUCCGGAAGAGGCGAGUGGAAUCCUGGUGUAGCGGUGAAAUGCGCAGAUAUCAAGGAGGAACACCAUGGCGAAGGCAGCUCGCUGGGACGGUACUGACGCUGAGAACGCGAAAGCGUGGGGAGAAA